GACGAACGCUGGCGGCGUGCUUAACACAUGCAAGUCGAACGGAAAGGCCCUGCUUUUGUGGGGUGCUCGAGUGGCGAACGGGUGAGUAACACGUGAGUAACCUGCCCUUGACUUUGGGAUAACUUCAGGAAACUGGGGCUAAUACCGGAUAGGAGCUCCUGCUGCAUGGUGGGGGUUGGAAAGUUUCGGCGGUUGGGGAUGGACUCGCGGCUUAUCAGCUUGUUGGUGGGGUAGUGGCUUACCAAGGCUUUGACGGGUAGCCGGCCUGAGAGGGUGACCGGCCACAUUGGGAUUGAGAUACGGCCCAGACUCCUACGGGAGGCAGCAGUGGGGAACAUUGCACAAUGGGCGGAAGCCUGAUGCAGCAACGCCGCGUGCGGGAUGACGGCCUUCGGGUUGUAAACCGCUUUCGCCUGUGACGAAGCGUGAGUGACGGUAAUGGGUAAAGAAGCACCGGCUAACUACGCGCCAGCAGCCGCGGUGAUACGUAGGGUGCGAGCGUUGUCCGGAUUUAUUGGGCGUAAAGGGCUCGUAGGUGGUUGAUCGCGUCGGAAGUGUAAUCUUGGGGCUUAACCCUGAGCGUGCUUUCGAUACGGGUUGACUUGAGGAAGGUAGGGGAGAAUGGAAUUCCUGGUGGAGCGGUGGAAUGCGCAGAUAUCAGGAGGAACACCAGUGGCGAAGGCGGUUCUCUGGGCCUUUCCUGACGCUGAGAAGCGAAAGCGUGGGGAGCGAACAGGCUUAGAUACCCUGGUAGUCCACGCUGUAAACGGUGGGUACUAGGUGUGGGGUCCAUUCCACGGGUUCCGUGCCGUAGCUAACGCUUUAAGUACCCCGCCUGGGGAGUACGGCCGCAAGGCUAAAACUCAAAGGAAUUGACGGGGCCCCGCACAAGCGGCGGAGCAUGCGGAUUAAUUCGAUGCAACGCGUAGAACCUUACCUGGGUUUGACAUGGAUCGGGAGUGCUCAGAGAUGGGUGUGCCUCUUUUGGGGUCGGUUCACAGGUGGUGCAUGGCUGUCGUCAGCUCGUGUCGUGAGAUGUUGGGUUAAGUCCCGCAACGAGCGCAACCCUUGUUCACUGUUGCCAGCACGUUAUGGUGGGGACUCAGUGGAGACCGCCGGGGUCAACUCGGAGGAAGGUGGGGAUGACGUCAAGUCAUCAUGCCCCUUAUGUCCAGGGCUUCACGCAUGCUACAAUGGCUGGUACAGAGAGUGGCGAGCCUGUGAGGGUGAGCGAAUCUCGGAAAGUCGGUCUCAGUUCGGAUUGGGGUCUGCAACUCGACCUCAUGAAGUCGGAGUCACUAGUAAUCGCAGAUCAGCAACGCUGCGGUGAAUACGUUCCCGGG
rnacentral:rRNA from 1 species